rnacentral:miRNA from 1 species
AACUUUGGUGUUGAUGACGUCGAUAUGCGACGUCAUAAAAACGAAUAAAUUUGGUUUUAAUGACGUCGAUAUUCGGCGUCAUAAACACGAUCAACUUAGGUGUGUAUGACGACGAUAUUCGGCGUUAUAAACACGAUUAACUUUGGGGUUUAUGACGUCGAUAUUUGACGUAAUAAACAUGAUCAACUUUGGUGUUUAUGAUGUCGAUAUUCGACGUCAUAAACACGAUCAACUUU